ACCGCUGCAGCUUCGUUAAAUUGAUGCGGUUCCUAGUGCGUAAUUAAGCCCCGCUCCAAUUGUUCUGACCUGAGGCGGUUUUGGGCAUUCACCGCAUCAAAUAACCCUGGGGGAAGAGGGUUUUGGUUUCCCUAAGAUACUCAAUGAAAAUUUCUCAGUAACCAUAACACUUCAGUCUUUGUCAGUUCCAGCUUGCACGUCCGCUUCAUCGUUCUUCCCGGUCACCGGUCUCCUCCCUCAGCUGUGUAGCUCCCGUGCGCGAAGGUAAAGUGGAAGGGGUCCGAGUCUUCUCCUUCUGCCGUGCAUGUCCGUGAUGUCGUCGGCGUCCUCCCCAGCCAUCCGUCCCUGUGUCAUCGUCGGCAGCCUUCUCCUCUUGCCCUGUUGUGCGUUGCCGAUCACAAGAGAGUCCCCUCUCAGUCGUAUAUUCCCCUCCAUUCUCCCAAUUUAAUUUUGGUGGCUGUUGGUAAAUUAAUCUUGCAUCUGAUCCUUGUGACUUCUGAUUUAAUUUGUCCCCAAUUUAAUUUUGGUGGCUGUUGGCCAAAUUUUUCUUCCCCACUUUAACAUUCAGAUUCAAUUUGUCCCCAAUUACUGAACCCCACUCUUGAUAUGUUUGUGUUUACUGCUUCAGCUCAUUUCACUAAAAACCCAAAUGUUUCCCAUCUCAGUUUUAAUAAGAAAAAAGAGAAUAUGGGGGGAUGUUGUAGGGUUUAAUGUCCAAACCCAUCACUUUCAAGUGAGUGUGUUUCUGAUCUAACCAAUUUUUUCUUCUUUAAUCUCCUGAAGCUUACAGUUCUAAUCCUGCUUAUGGAUAUUUAUUUUUUAGGAAAAUUUCUAUUAUGAUGCUUUGAUCUAUUGAUUAAUUAAUUUGUUCACUAAUCACUGGUUGAUAUUUUAGAUUUUGAUUUCUCAGUUUAUCUGUCUAGGCAUAUAGCUGUAUAGUAAACCAAUAGCAAUACGUUGUUGGUAUGGGUUUAGUUGAUUCGUACUGUGUUUUCAACAGGAUCCACCUGAAGACGCAGUUGUGCCAAUGUGUGGCCAUGUCUUCUGUUAUCAAUGUGUAUCAGAUUACUUGAAUGGUGAUGAUAAUACAUGCCCUGCUCGUGGUUGUAAAGCAGCACUUGCAGAAGAUGUUGUUUUCUCCAAAGCUACUUUGAGGAGUUGCUUGUCUGAUGAACUUGGUGGUAGUAAUUCCAUAAAAGCGCAUGAUUUUGAAUAAUUGGAUAGUGCAGCAGAAUGAGUACAGUUGGACUAGCAUGUUGGACUUAGUUGAGGCAUCAUUGCAACAAUCCUGUAUGAAAUAUAGGAGACUUGAUGGGCGGAUGUCUCUGAUUGCUAGGGACAGAUCUGUUAAAGAUUUCAAUACUGAUCCUGAGGUAACUGUUAUGCUGAUGUCACUAAAAGCAGGAAAUCUUGGUUUGAAUAUGGUUGCUGCAUGCCAUGUUAUUCUUUUGGAUCUGUGGUGGAAUCCAACGACUGAAGAUCAAGCUAUUGAUCGAGUUCAUAGAAUUGGAUAGACUCGUCCUGUUACUGUGACAUGGCUUACUGUAAAAGAUACAGUUGAAGACAGAAUACUGGCUCUUCAGGUAAUGAUAUCUGUCUAUUUAUUUUCAUUUCAUGUGUUAAAACACAGGCAUACAUUUGGAAUAAUUGGAUUUAUCGGCAAGAAGUUCAGUUGACUCUGGAGCCCACUCUGCUACAAAUUAACUUCAUAGACUUGAUUAGCGUACUAACAUGAAGCAGUACAAAUUUGCAAAAUUUUAUGAUGUGGUAAGAUUCCUGUUAUGCUUAUUUAACAUGCAAGGAUUGUUGUUGAGCUUUAUGAAUUUUGCUUGUAUUAAGAAUGAGCAUUAGCUUUUUGGCUGCCAUUUGGGAAAUAAAAAUAUAUCUAUUUAUUUUGGUUAUCAAUUUCAAAGAUUCCAGUUGUGAUGUCUGCUGAUGAUGUCUGCUUCCCUGGGCUUUACUGUUUUAGUAUGCUUAUAUGGGAAAAAUAUAACGCAUCACCCCUGCCGACUUCAAUUUCUCCUGGAUUUAGCUUGGAUGGGAAAAAUAUUCUUGCUGGUAACAUUAAGCGCAAUCUUGUUUUGGACCUGCCCUUCAGGAAUGGAGUGAUAUGUUACACCUUUUUCUAACUUGUUCAACUAUAUGCAGUUUCUAGCAGUCCUAUAGAUAUUCCACAGCAUGGAACCCUUGUUGAGAAGGAGAAAGAAACUGGUAAUAGUGAAUGGAGUUGGUUAGAUGUAUCAAAUCCCAUAUUCAAAUGCUCAGAUAAGGUUUUGGUUAAUUUUUCUUUUGUAAUAAUUUUUAUGGAUAAAUUAUUUUGUGAAAGAAAUACCCUAUAUGCUAAAAGAGUAUCACUGGGAUCUGCUACAGGUUACAUCUUUGCUGUCCUAAAUUUAGGGAUAAGUUAGUAUAAUGUCUUUUCUACCAUAGUACUAUAACAAUUGUUUCUUAAUGCCAAUUCUAGAGCCGUUACAACACAUGGCAAUAGCAACAAAUAUGAUCCAUGUCAAUUAAAGGUAAGAGACCAAUGAUUGCAAGAAGCAACGUGAUAUAUUAAUAUAGAGCCAAAGGUCAAGUGUUGGUAAGCUUCACUUAAAUGCUCACUGAUCAUGCAUUACAUGACAAACUGCUUAUAUAUUACUAUACAAACUUAUAAACAAGCCUUUCCUUCAUGUCUUGGUCUUCCAAUGUGAUUACCAAACUAGCAACCUGAGCUCUAUUCACCGAGAGACAAGAAAAAGCAAGAAAAGCAAAGGAAAUUAAACAGGGUUAGUCGCUUUAAAAAAGGCGUAAGAUAUAAAUAUAAAUUACUUGGGUUCAAUAUAUCAAGCUAAAUUAAAAUGCUUGAAGGCUUCAUCAAGCUCACAUUUAUCAAGCUCACAUUGAUAAAUUACUUGGCACAUGGCAUUUGUAAUGUUUAAUUGUUUAUGAGGUUUUUAUGCUUUGGUUGCAGAAUGAUUUGCUUCAGCUCUUUCAGCCUUUGAGUCAUAACAAAGCUUGUGAUGUUGGGUGCAAAAAAUCAGCUUUCCUUUUUAAAUUCAUGCCUCAAAAUGAGACUUUUGGUGUUCCUUCAGAAAUUUAAGGGUGCUUUAUUUUAUCUUUCUUUUUGUUAAUCUGCUACUUAUUUCAGGCUCUUGUCCAAAUGCAAGAUGUUGCUUCAGCCAUUAAUGCUUUACAAUUUUAUGCAAAUGUUCAGCCAACCAUAAGGGGGAGGAAUGUUUAUGUCCAGUUUUCCUCGUAUCAAGAACUAACAUCAAUGGAUCAAAAUCAAGGGCGUGGAGAUGAGGUUGGCAUUUUAGAGUUUUCAUGUUUGAGUUAAAAGUUAUUACUGAAAGUUCAUGGUGUCAAUUGAUAAUUGAUCCAUGUAACGACUCAUAUAUGGUAGUAUAUAUUUUGAUAAAUAGACUUAUGAAUAAGUUAUCUGUGCUUGGAUACAUGGUUACAUUAGUGCUUGUUUUGAGUGUUUUAAAAUAUGCUUCUUAAGAAGCUAGAUAAUUUAUUGUGCAGUGGAAUGUAGCUUCUGUUUCUAUAUAUUAUGUAUAAGCAAUUGCCCUGUAUAAUUAUUAAUU